CCAUGGCCAACAAACUUCAAAAACUCCAGAUCCCACAAAUUCAACAUACCUCGCAAAAAGCGACCAUGGGAAGAAAGGCUGCGAGAGAUAGACGAGCCCUAAUUUCUGGCGAGGUGGAGACGGGCGAGGGAGAGGACGUCUCCGACUUGUCCGACGAGUGGUGCUUCCCGAUCUUCCUGCUCUCCCACUCCGCCGGCGCCUCCGCCUCCGACUCCGUCUCUCUCUCCGCCAGCGGAGGAUCCGCUAUUGUCAUCUCCGCCUCCGGAUUCUGGAGCAGAGCCGACGG
rnacentral:lncRNA from 1 species